CGGGGCGUGGCUCAGCCCGGUUAGAGCGCACGGUUCGGGACCGUGAGGACGGCGGUUCAAAUCCGCCCGCCCCGACCA
rnacentral:tRNA from 1 species